GCUUACGGCCAUACCACCCUGAGCACUGCCCCGAUCUCGAUCUGAUCUCGGAAGCUAAAGCAGUGUCGGGCCCUGGUUAGUACUUGGAUGGGAGACCGCCUGGGAAUACCAGGUGCUGUAAGCU
rnacentral:rRNA from 1 species